rnacentral:tRNA from 1 species
GGGGACGUAGCUCAAACUGGCAGAGCACCGCCUUUGCAAGGCGGGGGUUGUGGGUUCGAGUCCCAUCGUCUCCA